GAUGAACGCUGGCGGCGUGCCUAAUACAUGCAAGUCGAGCGAACAGACGAUGAGCUUGCUCCUCUGACGUUAGCGGCGGACGGGUGAGUAACACGUGGAUAACCUACCUAUAAGACUGGGAUAACUUCGGGAAACCGGAGCUAAUACCGGAUAAUAUAUUGAACCGCAUGGUUCAAUAGUUAAAGACGGUUUUGCUGUCACUUAUAGAUGGAUCCGCGCCGCAUUAGCUAGUUGGUAAGGUAACGGCUUACCAAGGCGACGAUGCGUAGCCGACCUGAGAGGGUGAUCGGCCACACUGGAACUGAGACACGGUCCAGACUCCUACGGGAGGCAGCAGUAGGGAAUCUUCCGCAAUGGGCGAAAGCUUGACGGAGCAACGCCGCGUGAGUGAUGAAGGUCUUCGGAUCGUAAAACUCUGUUAUUAGGGAAGAACAAAUGUGUAAGUAACUAUGCACGUCUUGACGGUACCUAAUCAGAAAGCCACGGCUAACUACGUG
rnacentral:rRNA from 1 species